rnacentral:lncRNA from 1 species
AUUUUCGUGUACAGUGUAGCUCUAUUUGUUAGUCAUUGCCAUGUUAUUGAGUGUACAAAACUAGUAUAAAAUUACUGAAGAGAUUUUAGAAACAUUUUAGGGGAAGUUAAAACAAAUGAAAUGUGUACAACAGUUUCAAGCAUACACCAAUCAUGAACUACAAAGGAUUACCAGCAAUGAGAUUAUUCAGACGUAAAGUUAUAACAUUCUGUGGGAUAUGUUGGCAUUAAUAAGGAAACAAUUCAAAGUAACGUUAACCUUGUUUCAAUUUUUUCAGAUUUGGAUAGUUACGUAACCAUGGUAACUGUAUAAAAUUACAAUAUGUUGUAGUGAUAUUUUGUACGUCAUCAUCUGUAAUGGAUAUACUGUGUUAAUAACUUUGGUAGUGUUCAGCCUCGCAUUACACAUUGUUACAAUCAAUCAUAUUCUUUCAUUUGACAUUGGCGUGUUUCGGAUAGUAUUUUUUUAUGAAAUGACGGUACUGUAAGUGCGAUAAUUUUCUUGAAGUUUGUUAACCUCAAUUGUGCCGUUUAGUUUUAAUAUAGUUGAUCUACAUAAAGGAACAAAAAUGCAUCUAAAAAAGAUAUGUUUCGCAUUUGUAAGUAUUGACGUUAACAAACCUCGAAGUAGAAAUUAGUGGCCUAGUACUUUGAUUGGAGUUUUCAUUCUUGAACUAGUUCACCCAAGAAGGCCAACUUUAUUAUUGGCAUUCUAAUUGAAAAGUGUUUCUUCCUUUUUACCAAUGCACGUGUGUUUUCUAUAAAUCAGCCUUGCACACAAAGAGAAGCAUUCUUCAAGGUAUAUUGCAUCUGUUUCUAUCAUUCUUUUAAGUAUUGUGAAUGUUUGUGGCGAAAUGAGGCGACGAUAGCGAAGAUGUAAAAAGUGUGCGAUUUUCAAUUUUUCAUUUUUUGCAGUUGUGAAAGUUGAUAUAUGCUUCGGACAAAGCGACAGAACUCCGAUCUAUAUUGGUUAGAAGUGUAUGUGUUUUAUAACCAGGGCUAUUAUAAAAAAGAAGAUGUGGUAUGAUUGCUAAUGAGGCAGCUGUCCACAACUGUCCACAAAAUUAUGUUCUCUUUGUUACCCAAUCAAAAGAGACAAAAUGUAACAAAAUUGAAAACUCGAAACCAUAACGAUAUUCAAAAAAUUAUGUAAAGCAAAACAUUCCAGCAGCGCAUGCGUACGGAGUAUUUAUCUCCCAGUUAUUUCCUUGAUAGAAGGUUGGUGUUGCUAACCCUUCUGGAGCACCUUAAAGGUCUUCUCAACCUACUUUUAUAACAAGGAAAGAAAAAAAAAUGGUUGUAUGGCCAAUACCUAAACGAAGCGAGACAUAUUAAUUGAAGAUAACCCAAAUUAAGUCCAUGAUAAAAAUAUUUAUGAACAGGGAAAUUCUUUUUCGAGCAAUGUAAUUCCACAAAAAUCUUUUAAAUCUUUAUAACUAUUUUGAUAUGAGCGUCACUGAUGAGUCUUAUGUAGACGAAACGCGCGUCUGGCGUACUAAAUUAUAAUCCUGGUACCUUUGAUAACUAUUAAAUGCAGAAUAUAAAACCAAUAUUUAACAUUUUCUCGAAGCCUAUUUCAUUGAUGUUCCCUAGGUGGCAUUAAAUGAUUGAGUACUUUUAGGAACAUUGCCCUACGUUUAUUAGUCCAUCUAACAUCAGUUAUACAUUUUUACUUCCAGAUACUUCAAGGACAAUUUUUUGCUGCUCUUUUUGCACCGACUAUAACUUAUUUAGAUAAGACAAAGACAGACGACUGUGACGUCACCAAUUCGACAAGUUGUGGGUUGAACAAGUGUUGUGUAUAUAAGGUAAUCAUGAUAAAUUCCUUUUGGAUAGAUACUAGAAACUUUGAUUUGACCGAAUUUAAUCUUAUACUUACACACGAAAAGUACAAUUAAAGUUCUAAUGAAUAUGAAUGGAAUGGAAUGAAAUAUUUGGGUUAAUGACAACAAAGCAACAAUUCAAUAAAAUCAAAAUAAGAACAAAUAGAUUUAUUAGCUUCGGUACUGAUAGAAUCAUAUUCAAAACAGUGUGGUCCUGGCCAUUGAUUGACGACCUAAAUUAUCACAUUGACUGGGACAGAUUAGGUGAACGUUUGUCGGUAACAAUCACUGCUCUCUAUGUACUUGUUAAAGACACUGAAUCUGUGGGGUCACCAAAGGUUCUCAACACCUAAAUAAAAAAAUUCGAAGAACGAAUCCGGAAUAAUACGAUGUGUUGAUUUAUAUCAAUAAUAUAAAUCAAAACAUAAAGGUUAUUCCUGAAUAAUUUUUCGAAUUAUUUUAUUAUUAAAGGCGUUAAGAACCUUUGGUGACCCCACAGUUUAAAUUCUAUAAUAAGCAAGAGGUGAGCAAUGGUCAUUACAGACAAACGUUCACCUAAUCUGUCCCAGUCGAUGGGAUAAUCAAGGUCGUCAAUCAAUGGCCAGGACCACACUGUUUUGAAUAUGAUUCUAUGAUUUGUAACAAACUAAUGUCAUAAAUGGGAACUCUUAUUUUGUAUACAUGACUUUGUACGUUCAUUAAUAUGUGACGGGGUUAACCUGAAUAUUUACCAAGCAACUAUCUGCUUUUGAUUUCACUUUUUAACUCUUCAUAUCAAUGCAUCUUUUUUUAAAGGUAUACCAAGCCUCUUGAUUUUCCCUGCAUGGCAUAAAUUGAUCCAGCCUAAUGAAAUGGCAAAUUGCCCUUAGUUUUGUUCUUUUAAAUUCGGUUAUCUAUUAUUUUAAGUGCAUUUAGGACACAUUUAUGAUUUUUUUUGCACUGGCUGUAUCUUAUUUAGAUUGACAAUUUUAAAGACAGACAUGCGCGUAGCUACGUUUACGUCAAAACGCCGGGCGUACACUUGAAUUAGGUUAAAAAAAUAUUUUCACCUAAAUAAGAAUAAAAGAAAUGGUUAAGAGUACACCAACAUUCUAAGUAUUUCUUCAAUGGCUUGUAAUUGCGAAAAAAAGUGACGAAAAUUAGUAUCAUAUUAUAUAUUUGUUCAUUUUCUGUCAAAGUCUAAAUCUACCGUGAAUUCUAUACUCACUUUCCUUAAUUUUUUUUUAAAAGCAAUUCAUUAUGUGCUAAGAUUCGAUAUGUGGUUUGCAUUUUUUGUCGAGCUUUUGACAUUUAUGUCGCGAAAGCGAGACAUUUCGACCCUAAAUUUCUUCGGCGGUGCCACUAAUAUAACUAUGUACAUGUAGGUUCAUUACAUGGUUUAAGUUUGAAAAUAUCAAGGACUUUGUCAAACCUUCGUAAAAAUUUUACAGUAGCUGGACAAAAACUGUUUAUGGUCAAACGAGUAUCGAGAGCAAAAUGACGAAAUUAUAUAUGAUGAGUUGUACCGUAUUUUAUGAAUAAAAAGAAUUUCUUUUUGCAUCACUUUACACAAUCAAAGUUUAGAUUUGUUACAUAUCAAUUACCUUUUUAAACCUUCGUCGAAUUUAAUUAAACUUUCUUGAAGUUUUGUUUUCAUGGUUAAUUUCUGUAGCAAUUUUUUUCCAUUCAUUUUUCAGUUUUAUACCAACAGGCGGUCUGAUCUUUGCGCAAUUUAAAUCAGACUGGUCUGGUCACCGUUUAAUAACAUAUUGCACAGGGAGGCAAGCUUUCAAAUGCUUGCUUUCAUUGAUAUGAGAUAACGACUUCGGCUGAGAGGGAAUGGCAUAUAUUGUCCUUUACAUAUUAAUACAACACUUUGUAUACAAAUAAAAUAUUCUUUUUGAAGACAAAUAUAUUAAACAAAACUAUCUGACACAGUGAUAUAUGAGGGUCUGGAUUGGGAACAACAGGGAGUUGGGGGGUCAUCAUUUCUAUAUUUCUUUGUUCUGAAAUUCUUUUGGUCAUUCUUAUAUAUUCAGUAAGAAAUAUGCUCAUUAUUUCAAUUAUGUGUCCCUUUUCACGGAAUUUGCCACUGUACUACACAAAUGAAACCAUUUACAAUUUUGAUUAAUAUCUUAGACUAAUUGAAACCAGACACGUAAAAAUAUAUAUAUUUCGAUUUAUUUGUGAUAAAUUGAAUAUAAUGUAUAACAAUCAAUAGAUCAGCUGAAAUUAGGUAUGUGGUCCUGACGGAUGUCGGGUGACAUACUGUAAUUGUACGAUUUUUUUCUUCAGGCCCCUAAUCGGGGUUCGGGCGUACACGUAAAAAUGACCUAGCUACGCCACUGAUUUUAUAGAUGAAAAUAGUAGAACACAUAUAAACACAUCGUGUGGAAAAUAUCAAUUUGUUCAUCUGUAAAUUUUUCCUAAUUUCAAAAGCGUCAAUUUUGACUAAACGUUUGUAUUUAAAAUAACUGGCUCUUAAGCUGGGGUCACACAUUCACGAUUUUUACUGCCGUCAUUGACAGGACCAUUCCCGAUUAAAAUUUAUUAAAAGUCUGAUCAAGAUCUAUGAAAUCGUGGAUGGAAAUUCAAACUUUAAUUAAAAUUUGUAAAAAAAAAAUAUUUAAUCACGACAACAAUCAGAUAUUGUUCAGGAAGCGUCGAUAUUCAACCGUUUCCAAGCGAAUUUAUCCCGAUAAUCCCGUUCUAAAUCCGCUUCUAAUCCGAUUUGUAUCUUUCGCCAGGUAAAAUUCGACCGAGUCUGUCACGACUGCGUCCCGAUUCUACCGAAUGUAAUCCGAAAGAGAUCAGAUAGUGACAAGACAGUGAACCGACGCUGACGGAAGUUAUCCGUUCGAAAACUGUCGGCAUACUCGGGAUGAUCAGGUACUGUCGGAACGUAAUCCUAUCACGGUCCGCUCUAUCGCAUUGCAAACGGCUUUGUCUGGUCUCAGUCGUAUUGUAUUCUGUAAUUGUCGGGACUCUGACGUGGGUAUCAUUGACGAAUUUAAAAUUAAUAACGGGACUGUUUUGGAACAGUUUCGGCAAAAACGGUUCGCAAUCGACAAGAUCUGGAUGCAAUCUGGACUCAAUCGGCAGAAAAACAGCAAUGAAAAAUUUCUCCAGAUCAUUCCCGUUCCACAGGACACCGUCCCGAAUACACAGAAUAUUGUUAGGAAUUCGACCUGAUACAGCAGAAUCUGUCACGACAUAGUCACGAUUGUAAUCCGACUAGACAAAAUCGGCUGAGUUUCCCCGAAUGUUACGGGACGCACCUAACUAUCGGGGUGCUUCGCCGAACUAUUCGGACCCUUCCCGACCGGUAGGAAUCUGUUACGAACUAAAACGACUGCGUUCAGACAAUAAUAGGACAUUCCAGAUAUUUGAGGAUAGUAAUCCGACUUUUUCAUUUUUGUUGUCGUAUCGCUGUCUGAUCUCAAACGGGAGCAAUAAUCGGCAAUGUGUGAACCCUGCAUUAGCAUUUUGACUAAGCACUGUUUACUUUAAGUGUGUUUUUUACAGAAAGUUAUAUUACCGACCAGAAGAGCCUAAUACUUAGUAUGAGCCUUUUCGUACCAUAAUCGGAAUAAAGUGUACGGCAGUGAGAUAUAUCUUCCUGUAGACAAUUAUCUUGUGAACUAUUUUCUGCACAUCCGACUAAAUUGUACAUUAAAAAACAAAUCCAGUAAACACGGAACGAAGUAUUAUUUUACUGGUUUACUUAUGUGAUGUUUGUAGUAGACUCAUAAGCAAAUGCGUCAAUGCCAUUGUUAGUGUAGUGUUGUGCUAUGAAUUUUUAUUAAUUAGAUGAUAUGUGGAGUCAUUCCUAAUGAGACAAUAACACACAACACCAGAAACAAUACAAAUUAUAAAAAGUCAACAAUUGUUUUUUUUACUAAAUAUCAAUCUAAAUCUAUACUAGUUUGUGAGUGAAUUUCUUGAAGAUUUUUUUAAAGAUUUACCGUCAACGCCAAACGACAAAAAGAUUAAAAUUUAACAACAAACAACUGACAAGGCGUACAGGUGAGCACAAAAAAAAACACUCUAAAAACGCUUGAAUAAAGGAAUAAAAGUUAAUUAAAAAAAAUGAGUACAUGCAGGUACAUGUUUAAACGAAUAAAGAUUGCAGUUUCAACAAUGGUCGUUCAAUGACAUAUGUAGUUACCAAAAGCAAAAUUAAAUCAGGCCGUUAGUUUUCUCGUUUGAAUUGUUUUACAUUUGUCAUUUCGGGGCCUGCAAUAUCUGAAUAUGUGAUGUGGAUUUUGCUCUGACAUUUUGAAUGCCGUGCAGGUACCUUCAGUUGUUUUAAUUUCUAUUUCAUUUGUUCUCUUGUGGAGAGUUAUCUCAUUGUCAAUCAUACCACAUCUUCUUUUUUAUAUUAAAGUACUUGUACAUGUCAUGCUAAUAUCAAAUGAGGCAUUCCUACACUGCAAUGCAUAUUUGAGUGCAAGGAGACAUGAUUUUCAAACAUGAACAUACGCGAAUUGCUUUGUCUGAAAAAGGAUUAGCAUGGAUGCGUCAAAACAACUGCACAGCAAAAUAAAACUCAUCUUAGAUCCCAGGAUUGAAAUUUCGUAUUUGCGCCAGACGCGCAUUUCAACUACAAAAGACUCAUCAGUAACGCUCGAAUAAAAAAAAGUUAAAAAGGUCAUAUAAAGUACGAAGUUGAAGAGCAUUGAUGACUAAAUACAGCUAAGGUAAUCUCUUCCUGAGGUAGAAUAGUCUAUUAAGUAUUUAAAAAAUUCUAAGUUUUGUAAACAUUUAUGAUCGUUUUGUUUCUUUUACAGAUUAUUAUCAACAGGUCGCAAAAUUCUAUUGUAGAAAGGAGACAAAUAUGCCAGUCAACCAGAAUGGACGGGG